rnacentral:rRNA from 1 species
UCAGCAGUAAUUAACAUUAAGCAAUAAGUGAAAACUUGACUUAGUUAUAGCGACCUCCCAGGGCCGGUAAAUCUUGUGCCAGCCACCGCGGUCAUACAAGAGGCCCAAACUAAUAGUAAUCGGCGUAAAGUGUGGUAAUAUGUUAUCUAACUAACUAAGACCAAAAUACAACUAAGCUGUCAUAAGCUCAAGAUGCCCCUAAAACCUCCAUAAAUAUGAUCUUAGCAUCCACGACCAAUUUCAACCCACGAAAGCUAAGGCACAAACUGGGAUUAGAUACCCCACUAUGCUUAGCCCUAAAUCCAGAUACUUACCCUACACAAGUAUCCGCCCGAGAACUACGAGCACAAACGCUUAAAA